CUGUUACAAAUACCCUAUGAUAAUUAUUUAGAUUUUUAAACAAUGUUUACUGCAAUCACUACCAAUAUUAAUCAAUGUUGACGACCAGAAGGUGACAAAAUGCGACCCUCGCUUCAGUUUCAGCCUUUGAACAUCCGGCUUGUGAUUGUCGUUGACUUCUUCGAUAAUUAUUUCGCCUUUUCAACGGCUUUUCAAGCAUAAAACACUGACUAACUGGCGCGGACAGAGCACAUUAUUCGAUUGUGAUCGACAAAGGCGUUGCUAGUCGUCCGCUCAAAUGCUACUGCUUUGCACCAAACUGUCAAGGUAAGGAGACAGUGUUUAUACAGCUCUAGUAGUGCGUUCUGUGGUGCGAUUCAAACUAUAGUCUCUCUCCUACUAGACAAGCAGGUUCUAGUCUUUUUGGACGUACAUGUCGAGCGCUUGCAAACGAGCUAAACAAAAAGCGCAGCUGCGUAUCUCCACAAUUGUGUUAAAUUUCGGACUUAGUUUGAGGUCGAUCUGCAUGCAUGGUCUGGUUUUUGGUCUCCAUGAUUAGACAUUUGACGUUGGGCGUAGCAAAAAUCUUGUUGUGUUUUGAUUUCCAGAGAUAGAAAAAGGAAAAGAUAUAUGGCCUAGAGUGUCAUCUAUAGUAUUCAGGGAUCAAGGCGAUUCUUACACGCCGAAUUCAUAGCUAUAGAACGGAAAGAGCAGUGGAGACAACUAUUGCAUGCGCUUGUACUAGCUACGCUAUGGUGGUUUAGAGGAGCGCCGCCUGUAAGCAAUCAGAGACAUCGAGCUAUACAUUAGAGCAAGGUCAAGCUAAAUUUGUUUAAAGUAAGUCACACAUCGACGUCUUAACUAUAAAACAGCAAAAAUCUAGAUUCUAGGUUGACAACCAUGCAAGUAAACAGAUGGAUUGAUAACCAAACGGCAUACUUGGCAGUCGCGAAAACAUCCUCCCCCAUAAAAGACAUCACCUCUGACAGCAUGCAGAUAAGUCUAAUGCACAUUCCAGCUCGCACACAAACCGCAACUUGUUUCUAAACAAAACGUUUUCAAAUAAAAGUUAAACCUUCGACUAGAGAUUCUAAUGCAUACUGCAAUGCACGAAGGGCUUGUGACUUUUGUGACGUGUAUAGCUCUAGAUCUGCACGUGCAGUUGCUAUUUGGCAUCUUUAUCUACAUCUAAUGUACUACACAAAACAGUACUAGUGGGGUGAUGGCGUUGUAUACAGUACUUCUUGGACUCUUAAGCCAGCGCGAAAGACUUAGAAGGUGCUAGGCUUGCAAACUAUUAUACGUCAAGGUCGCAAUCACUGCAAAACAUUAUUCAAAAUAGACUAGAUCUCUAGUAGAAGCAUGUGGGUCCGGUGCUUCUUUCGCAUGCAAAUGUUUGUCUCUUCCCUGCAAUCUAUGCGGUCUAAUUUGCAUCUGCACAGACGGUUAAUGCGUAGGGAGAUCAGUGCGAAGUGUGGACUCUUUUACGGUACCGUUAGAAAGGAUUUUUGAAGUGAGAGACUACACGAGCAAAAAACGAAAGUGACAAACAACAGCCAGCAUUGACUAACGUAACACGUAAUGUAGGAGGUAAUGAGCGAGCAUUAUUUACUAAAAUUAAUUGAUUCGUACUGUCAUAUCUUAUAACUCACUCUUGUUAGCGGCUAAAUGUCGCUCGUUCUUGCAAAGGCUUUAUUACAUGAACAAGGCAAGAAGAAACUAUCACAUGCCUCACUUCAAACUCUUGGGAUAUGUUCUACUGCAGUUCUAUACUCUAUUUUACUAAUGAGUACUUGUCUACAAGGUGCCCAAGUUUUAGCCACAGCAUUGUUGUUCAUUUUGGAUUUGUCUUGUCAAGCAUGAAUCUAUGGCAGACUCUUUGCAAAUGAAGGGAGCAAGAAGGCUUUGUGAAGUACAGGAGUCAAAUGGAGCGAGCAGCGAGAUUGACCACGGUUUCAGCUACAAGAAACCAUUGAGGGAGAUAGGUACAGAAGAUUAUAAAAGUGCAGAAUGACUGAGAAAUCGUUCAAUUACUAUCUUCACAAGUAUGCCUUGGACAUAAAAAAUGUUCUAGAAUGAUUGAGUUUGCUGGCACAGAUGGGUAUGGACUUUGCGUCUGCGGUUGAGCAGUUUGUCACUUCAAUGCCUGAUAACAACAGGACUGAGAAAACUGAGAAAGAUAUAAUGGCUAAGAAUGAUUUUAGUUAUCCUUAUUCUUUACUCAAAACCCAAUGUAAAACAGUGCUUGGUGUCCGCCAAGGAGUAACGUCUCUAGCAGCAGUUUGUUUUACACUUGACUUGCAUUAGCAAAUAUACAGUAAAAA